rnacentral:rRNA from 1 species
GACAGAGGGUGCAAACGUUGUUCGGAAUUACUGGGCGUAAAGCGCGUGUAGGCGGCCUUGCAAGUCGGGUGUGAAAUCCCAUGGCUCAACCAUGGAAGUGCACUCGAAACUGCAAGGCUAGAGUCCUGGAGAGGAAGGUGGAAUGCUUGGUGUAGAGGUGAAAUUCGUAGAUAUCAAGCGGAACACCGGUGGCGAAGGCGGCCUUCUGGACAGUGACUGACGCUGAGACGCGAAAGCGUGGGGAGCAAACAGG